rnacentral:rRNA from 1 species
AAACUUUCAACAACGGAUCUCUUGGUUCUGGCAUCGAUGAAGAACGCAGCGAAAUGCGAUAAGUAAUGUGAAUUGCAGAAUUCAGUGAAUCAUCGAAUCUUUGAACGCACAUUGCGCCCUCUGGUAUUCCGGAGGGCAUGCCUGUUCGAGCGUCAUUAC